UGCCCAGCAACUCCUAUCCCUACCUCCUCGCGGUACCGGCCGGAAACUAUGAGCAACCUUAGGGAAGAUCGGGUAACCAACCCCGUUGGGAACAUUGGUCGUGGACUGACAGCGAAGG
rfam:Aedes albopictus isolate Foshan contig15917, whole genome shotgun sequence.